UCUAUUUCACAGAGAAAUGA
rnacentral:siRNA from 1 species